UACGGAGGGUGCAAGCGUUAUCCGGAAUUAUUGGGCGUAAAGCGUUCGCAGGUGGUGAUGUGAGUCUGCUGUCAAAGCGUCUGGCUCAACCAGAUAAAGGCAGUGGAAACUACAUAGCUAGAGUAAGGUAGGGGUAGAGGGAAUUCCUGGUGUAGCGGUGAAAUGCGUAGAGAUCAGGAAGAACACCGGUGGCGAAAGCGCUCUGCUGGACCUUAACUGACACUGAGGGACGAAAGCUAGGGGAGCGAAUGGG
rnacentral:rRNA from 1 species